GCGAUUCCCUGAGUAGUGGCGAGCGAAAAGGGAACAGCCCAGCGCACAAUCUCCCGGUCUACCAAGGCCGCGGCGAAAUUUUGCGUAUAGGGAAGGGUCGUCUAUAGCCUCGUGCCACCGUCUGAUGUGCCUAACCGUGAUCUGAAAUGUUCACGCACGUUGGGUGCUUUAUCUUUCGGGGUAAACGCUCGAUACACGGUUCCAGGGUGGGUGCAAGCCCCGUAUGGCCGCGUGAGAGUGUGCACUAAGGCUCGAUCUCUUUUUCCCUGAGAGUCGCGUUGUUUGAACAUACAGCGCUAAUCAGGAGGUAAACUCCUCCUAAGGCUAAAUACAUCCACAGCACCGAUAGCAAACAAGUACCGCGAGGGAAAGUUGAAAAGCACUUUGGAGAAAGGGUGACAAGACCGUGAGACCGUCCAGGGCAAAAGCCGGUGUCAAAUAUCCUAGUCGCGCUGGGACUAUGGCUCCUCAGCCAUAAGGCUCGAGCACGUCUCUGGUCGUGCGAGUUCUUAAAGGACGCAAGUCUCUCGUACGAACGAUUCGUAAUCACGCUCGUGCCUCUCGGUCCAUCAACAGCCCACCGUGACUCUUGCGAGGUCAUUCGCGGUAGCUGAAGCUUCUGCUCGGUACUGUUCGUGAAGGGUCGAGAUUGUCGGAGGUCGUGUUAUUGCGGUAUCCCAAGUAGCUCUCGCGGGAGAGCGAAAGGCACUGCAGUACGCGUCGGUGCCACGAAUGCCUCCAAAAUCGAAGCCUGAAUGUACUCGGGUGUUGCGCUAAGCUGCCAACGCGUCUCCGAUCCUCUGCGAGAAGUUAACCAACGCUCGCCCGACCGCUCGCUAUGUCAUCGUCUCCAAGCGUUUCAGCGGCUGAAGCGACGAUCGACUCUAGAGUGGACGGGUGUACAGUAUACGGUGGUAGUCCUAGGUGACGCCGGUCACGUCUCGAAACACGGGCCAAGGAGCAUAGCGUAAAGCCAAGUCCAAAUGUUUCUCGAAACUUUGUGGCGACAGUGAAAGCGAUCGUACGGCUACUCUGCGUAGCCGUAAGUGUGUGCGCCGAGAGUUCCGGUGCAAGCCGAGAUUCGAAGCGUGCUCCGAUCUAGUCAAGGUUGAUCCUCUAGUUCUUCACGAACGAAAAGGCGCAAACCUCAGGCCCGUUCAACCGUCGACUUCGGUCGGCCGGAAGGGCACUGCCUAGGCUUUGAGCUAUGACCCGAAAGAUAGUGAACUAUGCUUGGCGAAGACGAAGCCCCAGGAAACUGUGGUGGAAGUCUGUAGCCGUUUUGACGUGCAAAUCAAUGGUGUCAGCUGAGCAUAGGGGCGAAAGACCAAUCGAACUAUCUAGUAGCUGGUUCCAUUCGAAGUUUCUCUCAGGAUAGCUUGCGUGACAUUAACGCUAUGAGUCUGGGCUCUUCGGUACACGAAAGCGUGCUGGUAGUCCGUCCCACUUUGUCUGCAGUUGUUGAGAGUUGUCGAGCCGAGAACUUUGUCAUCUCACUCUCUAGUCACCAGGGUAGCGUAUCAUUUGGAUCGUGAGCAGUUACGUCUGGUAAAGAGAAUGAGUAGAGUUAGCUCGUUGCUUUCUAUAGCAACAGCAGCGGGGCGUCCUACGCCUCGCACUAUUAUCAAACUUUAAAUGGGCGAGGUACUCGGUAUUUACUUAAUUGCUUGAUACCGGGGCGAAACACGUCUCGUGGCUUUGCCGUCGAGACGAAGGUGAAUGCGUGCGCGCAAAGUGGGUCCUUUCUGGUAAGCAGAACUGAUAAUGAGGGAUGAACCUAACGCAUGUGCUAAGGGGCCAAAGAGACAGCUAUUUCUCGAAACCAUUGGAAAGGUGUUGCUUGCUGAAGACAGCAGGACGGUGGUCAUGGAAGUCGAUAUCCGCUAAGGAGUGUGUAACUACUCAUCCUGCCGAAGCGAGUAACCCUGAAAAUGGAUGGCUCUAUAGCUCUCUCCCGAUGCACAGCCGUCAGUAGCACUUGAGUCACCUCGUGUCUCUACGCUCUGACGAGUAGAAUGGCUAUGCUGCAUUGCGUUGACGGCUAUCGCGUGAGCGUGGUCUGAGCGUGCAGCAGUACAGAUCUUGGUGGUAGUAGCAAGUACUCUGGUGAAUAACCUUGAGCUGUGAGGUUGAUAAGGGUUCCAUGUCAACAGUGUUUGUACAUGGGUAAGUCGGUCCUAAGCUCCCAUUAUUCUUAAUGGUAAUUGCGAUCGCUCAGAAGUCAAGGUGCUGUUGCGACACUCUGGUACACAAGAUGGCAUCGGUGUGUCUCUCUCUCUCUCUCUCUCUGUAGUAUUGAGCAAGCUUCUUCGUGUCUGUUGUUGACUACUGACACCCCCCACUCUGGUGAUGGUAUCGGCGCGAAAAGGGAACCGUGUGUUUGCGUGUGUGCAUUGGCUUCGGUGAUGGGACUUGCGCGAGUUUCUCAGAGAGGGUCUAAGGACAUACGAUACAUGCAUACUGGUGUGAGUGCGGUGAGCGAACGGUAGCGUUUUUCUCCUAGAGAAGUUGUGGACGCUGUGACCAAGUAGACUCUCCUCUCUCACUUGUAUGUAUCGAAUACGUGUUCGUAAUCUCGCUAACGUAACUCUGUGCCCGCUCUUGUCGAUGAUGCCCGUGUGUGUGCGUGCGCGCGCUGUGCUCUUACUAGCAACGGAACUGUCGUGGGGUCAGUGUUGUGUCUAUAGCGCAUGUCGAUGGCGAGCUCGAGAAAAGGAGGAGGAGCAGGAGGGACUAUGUGUCGGAUAUGUGUGUGUCUCUUCAAGCAGUACUGUAGGCUUCCGCGUCGCUCGGCGAAAGGGAAUUGCGGACUCAGUUCGUAAACCACACCUGGUACCCUGAGACGGUUCACCGUUUCACGGACCUGGCAAUAGCUUGCCAGGCCAGUCGCUGUCAUAAGUAGCUCGGCGGGGAGAUUUCUUCUCUCUUUGAUAUAGAUACGUGUCCUGGAAACACCUCGAGUGGCGAAAGGUCAACGCUAUCUAGCAGAGUACUCUACUCCCUCGAGUAGAUAACGAUGCUGCUUGUGAUCCGUGAAAAGGUGGUCGAGGGGAAAGAAUGGGACUUACGCGCGGCAGACCUGUCUGUCUGUGUGUGUGUCCCGACACUUUACUCGAGUGUUAGCCAGGGCGUGGCCGUACCCAUAUCCGCAUCCGUCUCAUA
rnacentral:rRNA from 1 species